rnacentral:rRNA from 1 species
GUCCUACGGGGCGCAGCAGUGAGGAAUAUUGGUCAAUGGGCGAGAGCCUGAACCAGCCAAGUCGCGUGAGGGAUGACUGCCCUAUGGGUUGUAAACCUCUUUUGUAUGGGGGGAAUAAGCUUUACGAGUAGAGUGAUGACAGUACCAUACGAAUAAGCAUCGGCUAACUCCGUGCCAGCAGCCGCGGUAAUACGGAGGAUGCGAGCGUUAUCCGGAUUUAUUGGGUUUAAAGGGUGCGUAGGCGGGCUGCCAAGUCAGCGGUAAAAUUGCGGGGCUCAACCCCGUCGAGCCGUUGAAACUGGCGG